GUGCCAGCCGCCGCGGUAAUACCGGCAGCCCGAGUGAUGGCCGAUAUUAUUGGGCCUAAAGCGUCCGUAGCUGGCCGAACAAGUCCGUCGGGAAAUCCACCCGCCCAACGGGUGGGCGUCCGGUAGAAACUGGCCGGCUUGGAACCGGAAGGCUCAGAGAGUACGUCCGGGGUAGGAGUGAAAUCCCGUAAUCCCGCACGGACCACCGAUGGCGAAAGCACUUCGAGAAAACGGAUCCGACAGUGAGGGACGAAAGCCAGGGUCUCCAACCGGAUUAGAAACCCUUGUAGUCC
rnacentral:rRNA from 1 species